GUUUCCCGGAACGUGUAGCUACAACAUUUGGUGCAUUGGCCAGGAAACUCCUCACUUUGAGGAGACAAGUCCCAUUUGGGACUUCUCCUAGGCCUUGCAGCUUGAAUCUUCUAGAGGGGGGAAGAUGCCUUGCCCUUCUGGAAGGUUUCUGGGUCUCAAUGCCUGGACCUUUCACGUUAGCAGGUAGUGGACGGCAGCAGGGAAACUGAGCGCUCAGGUGAGGAGGAACCCAGGUGGAAGAGGGGGCCUGAUCACCCCCCUGGGAGGGACUAGAAGGAGCGAGGACCCACAGGAGCCUGGAUUAGGUAGCCGGCGAUUGCUUGGUACACAGGUCGACCAGUGUGCUAGGGCUUAGGAAGGGAAUUUGCCAAGGUCAUUAAGGAGGUGUGUCCACUCCAUCUCAGCGAAAAUUAUUACCAGUGAUCGCCAGGGGAUUUUUAGGAUGGGAAACUGGUCCUUGUAUGUUCAUAUUCUGCCCUCCCCCAGGAGGUGUCCCGUCUGCUGUGAAAUGCUUGACCCCUUUGGAAUUGUCAGGCUAGAAGGAGGGGGAUACAUAAGUGAGUAUGAACUGGCUUUUCCGGAGACGGCCUGGGACAUGGGAUAUUUAACCCAUCUAUGUUUUCAUCCGCACCUGAUCAAGCCCACCAAGGCAGAACGGACUUUAAGGUAGAAACAGUCUUGGACCACGUUGUGUUCUGGUUCGGCCUUGCUGACCGGCAGGUGAAGACACGCCGAUCCCCCUUCUCCCUCAGGGAUCUGGCAGGAUUUGGACAAGGAUGACCUGCCCCUCCCCCAUAAUGGACGACGACUCACCCACCGGCCCAGUGCUCCACCAGGAUCGGAGGCUGCCUUAAUGCCUGACCCAGGGCCAGGUGAAGUACCUGCAGCAGCCGCUGCUCCUCCACCAGCUCUCCCACAGGUCGUAGAGACGCCACCUCGGCGGGCUCCGAUCUGCUGGCAGAAGCCUCUGGCCAACACUUCCAGGAUCCGGCUCCAGCCGAACAGCCCAAGCUAUACCCACUUUUCCCGGGUUUAAAAAUUCCCCAACCAUCUUUGGGGAAGCCUUGGCUUCUGACCUGAACUCAUCCCAUCCGGAAGAGUAUGGAUAUUGGCUCCUACAAUACGGGGAUGACCUGCUGCUGGCUGCUGAGACCGAGGAAAAAUGUUGGGAAGGCACAAAAGCACUGCUCCAGCUGCUGAUGGAAGCAGGUUACCGGGUGUCGAAGAAGAAGGCACAGAUCUGCAAGGAGGAGGUAAGGUAUCUGGGGUUUGUUUUAAAGAAGGACACAAGGUUCCAGACCCUAGUUGGGUCCUAUAUACUGAUGGCACUAGCCUCAUAAAACAAGGACAACGGCUGUCAGGUUAGCCAAAGCGGAAGGGGCCACCAAGACUAAAAAGGGAUGGUGGGAAUUGCCAAGUGGCAAAUUAUUGGUACUGGAGGAGCUGGCACACACUCUGGUAAGCCAAACACACCAAGCAACCCACCUAGGCCAUGCUGCCUGCUCACAGGUUAAUGCUUCCUCUCGGGUAUUCAGACAAAAUCCUCCGGGUAUUCAGCUGAAAGGCACUCUGCCCUUUGAACACCUGGGAGUGGACUUCACUGAAAUGAAACCUCAUCGACAUUACCGUUACCUGCUGAUCAUGGUAUGUACGUUUUUGGGAUGGGUAGAAGCUUUCCUACCUGGACUGAAAGAACAUCAGAAGUAGCCCGGUGCCUGCUUAGGGAAAUAGUUCCUAGAUUUGGAUUUCCUACCAGCAUUGGAUCAGACAAUGGCCCGGCUUUUGUAGCUGAUUUAGUACAACAAAUGAACAAAACUAUAAACAUCAAAUGGAAACUGCACACUGCAUAUAGGCCCAGAGUUCUGAGAUGGUGGAAUGAACCAACCGGACAUUAAAGAGACUCUCCAAGUGGAUCAUAGAGACUGACUGCUCCUGGGUGGACUUGCUUCCGACGGCUCUGCUCAGACUCAGGGUGACCCCACAGUCCCAAGGCUAUUCUCCGUACAAAAUUGUGUAUGGGAGGCCCCGUCCCAUAAUAAGACAGGUGUUAACAAAUUUGCCUCAGGUAAGGGGGGAUAGGAUUUCACAGCAGAUGGAACUGGGUACAGUAAUAAAUCAGGUAACUAAGUUUGUACAAGAAAGGGUGCCGUUCCCCCUUGGGGAACAGAUUCAUGAGUUUAUGCCUGGUGACCAAGUAUGGGUCAAAGUUUGGAAACUUGAUUUGCUAGCCCCUCAGUGGAAGGGCUCUUAUACUGUUAUUCUAACUACCCCUACUGCAGUUAAAGUUGCAGGUAUUGUCCCUUGGAUCCAUCAUACGAGGGUGAAGAGAACAUAUCACGCAGACCCAAAAAACGCUGAGUUGACUGCACAGAUGGAACCCGCUGACCCUCGAGAGACUAAGACCAUCCUUAAGAAGAAGGAAAAGACGAUCGCAGAUGAGCCCCUUGAGGAUGAAGCCACAUAAUCAACUCCUGCUGCUUGGUCUCAUCAACGUGCACAUUCCUAUGCCAACUUCCACAAUACCUCCAACUGUUGGGUAUGUGGGGCUAUGCCUCUGUCUGUGAUGGAUGGACUUCCCUGGUGGCUGUCACUGCUCCGCCAAAGAGAUUUUAAACCACUCUGCUCUUUUCUGGGACACAAUCAUAAUCGUUCCCUGCUCUCUGGGUGUAAGCCAGACCUACAGUCAAUAGACUCAGGUCAUAGGUUUACAUUUGAUAUAAAUGCCAAUGCAACAAAAGCCUAACCUAUAAUAAGCUCUGGUAAAUCUACCUUAUUUACAUGCUAGGUGGCCAAGAUCUGUGUUUCAAUGGUAUAAGUAUGUUGCUGCCUUAUUCAUACCCUCUAUAGGGACAACAGAUAUUAUGAUUAAAGUAGAAGCCUUGACUAAUUUCACAAAACAGGCCCUCCUAGAUAAAACAAAAGCCAUCUAAGCCUUAAAUGAAGAGCAAAUCCAAAUGAGAAAAGCAGUAAUUCAAAAUAGAAUGGCUUUGGACAUACUCACAGCUGCUCAAGGAGGGACCUGUGCUAUAAUUAAGGUUGAAUGUUGUGUAUGCAUUCCUGACUUAUCUGGCAAUGUAUCAACUGCUUUAGAUGUCAUGAAAAACCAGGUAAAAGCAAUGUCAAAUGAAAACAUUCCUUUAUGGACUUUGGUCCUAUCUUGGGUGAAGGGCGAUUGGUGGAAAACUAUAUUUACCAUUGUUAUAUUUGCCUUGAUAGUUCUGCUUUGUGAACCCUGAAUUUUACAAUGUAUUCAAUGUAUCCCUAUGAAUGAUGCUCAUAAUAUGAAUUAAGAGCAUCAAGAUGGGAGAAUGAAGGAGGAAACAGACAGAGCUGGACUCCAUCUUAGGCCAGGCUGCAAACAUUAGGCUACAUGCAUGGUCACCCUCCCAAAGGACUCUGAACUUUGUGCCCGGUGCCUAUAGAAAUGGCAUACCCAUGGAAAACCAGACUCCUGGAUAAAAGAGCCUCAGGACUUGUA